GCCGUCGACGACCCACGCCGCCGCCGCACACUACCGCGCCCUCCCCUCACCCUGGCCCAAUUCAAUCCAACCCCGCGCGCACACCGAUGCCGCCGCCGUCGACCCCUUCCUCCCUCCCCUGCCUCGCACCCAUGGCGUUUGCGCUCAAGGCCUCCGCCUCCCCCGCCCUCACCGCUACCUCCUCAGCGACGUUCCCCUCCUUCUCAGCUGCCUCCGCGGUGCCCAGGGGCCGCGCCGCCGCGGCCAGGAGAGUCUCGCUCCGCGGGGCCGCACCCGCGACCUGCUACCCCGCGCCCGCGCCAACUCCAGCAGUUGGCUCGCUCGCUUGCUGCUGCAGGUGAGUGCUGGUGGAGCUCGUAUCGGGGAUGAGGAAGGCUGUAGAUCCGGCGGGCGAGGAGGCGAGCCGUGGGUUGCAAGAAGGCGGUGGUGGUGUGCGCGCUCAUCGGCUUCCUCGGCGUCCUCUCCGCCGUGCUUGGCUUCGCCGCCGAGGGCACCCGCGUCAAGACAAUGUUGAUAUGGGAACUGUGUGUGGUAAUACUUCCAAGUCUGCUGCCUGAGUAUCAUCGACCCUGGCGAUUCCGACAUCAUCAACGCAACACCAGCUGUACAAAAUAACUAAAAAUUCCCAGGUGUACCCUGUUCAAACUAUGCUGCAUAUCAGCACAUGCUAAUGGUUAAUGUGCAUGCUCAACCAGAAAUCAGAAUUGCCUCUGUAAGAUGUUGUUUGUCAGUCAUCCAACAACAACUUGGUUUUGAUUAUCUUCUUAGUGAUGUUGUCUUGUUCUGCUUCUGAAGUAGUACUGCUUUAUCCAAGCCUGGAUCUCCUAUAUACUGUAGUCCUGCCAUGCAAUCUGAUCCUGACACAUAACAUUACUCUGUCUAACCCAUGUCUGAUUUAUAACAUAGUAAUAUUGUGUAGCUUGAUUAUUUGUAAAAUGGCGGGCAAAUGCUGCUGCAAAGAUAUUAGUGGUAUAUGUGCAUGCAGUUGACAAUAUGAUUUCACAUGUGUGUUUGAACAUUAACCAUACAGAUUAUGGUACUGUUAAUUUGGUGCAGUUGAAUGAGUGCUUGGUGUUGAUAUUUUCUUAAAUGAGCAUUAUUUUGUCUUAUAAUAGAUUGAUUUGCACUGUUUUGGUUAAUCAUAGUCCCACAACCGUAUGUGAUUUAAUUGACUGAGAUGUUGCAGUAGACUUUGUUGCUAGCUAUUUAAGAUCACUUAAGAUAUUAUAUAAACAUCAUGUUGUGAUCGUGGUGGUCAUCGUGUUAAAUAAAUUGUAACACUGGUAGUCUAGUAGAAAUUUUGAUCAAAUUGGAACUUUCAUAUGCUUAUAAAGCUUUCCUAUGAACAUUCAUAGGGAUUUUAGCAUGGCUGCUGUUGGCCCUUUGUAUUAAUAUGUAAUUAGUGUAUGUACAAACUGAAUGUUAAAAUGACAGGGAUUUCUGAUGGCGGUGGUGCACAUCCCGCGCCAGUUCAAGGUGUCGGACUGGUUCCUGAACAGGAAGGACUACAAGGACGGGAGGUUCUCCCAGGUCUUCUCCAACGCCGUCGACAUGAAGCUCAGGGAUGACCUUGAGAGGCUCAAGAAGAUCAGGGAGCUGGAGCUGGGCCAAGGGAGCAAGCAGCGCUGCUGGUUACUUGGGGCCAGAUCGAGUAAGAUGGCGCACCAUGGCGUGUGGCGGCCUAUUUUGCUUCCAAGAGCAGUACUGUUUAUUUGAAUGAGAUGUACUCGUCUACUGCCUAGUAAAAAAUGAAUGAUUGUCAUGUACUGUCUAUGAUGUAGUGAGCUAUAGGAGUGAAAUGAAAUUUUAUCUGCUGUUGUAUGUGUUAUUUUCCUGUAAUGUGUUGUGUACAUUUUACUUGAACAUUAAAUUCUCCAGAAAAUGUUCUUACUGGA
rnacentral:rRNA from 1 species